UACGAAGGGGGCUAGCGUUGUUCGGAUUUACUGGGCGUAAAGCGCGCGCAGGCGGCCUAUCAAGUCAGGGGUGAAAUCCCAGAGCUCAACUCUGGAAUUGCCCUUGAGACUGUUGGGCUUCGAGUACGGGAGAGGUGAGUGGAAUUCCCAGUGUAGAGGUGAAAGUCGUAGAUAUUGGGAAGAACACCAGUGGCGAAGGCGGCUCACUGGCCCGUUACUGACGCUCAGGCGCGACAGCGUGGGGAUCAAACAGG
rnacentral:rRNA from 1 species